rnacentral:rRNA from 1 species
UACGGAGGGUGCAAGCGUUAAUCGGAAUUACUGGGCGUAAAGCGCGCGUAGGCGGUUGAUUAAGUUGGAUGUGAAAGCCCUGGGCUCAACCUGGGAACUGCAUUCAAAACUGGUCAACUGGAGUACAGCAGAGGCAAGUGGAAUUUCCAGUGUAGCGGUGAAAUGCGUAGAGAUUGGAAGGAACACCAGUGGCGAAGGCG